rnacentral:rRNA from 1 species
UACGUAGGGUGCAAGCGUUAAUCGGAAUUACUGGGCGUAAAGCGUGCGCAGGCGGUUCGGAAAGAAAGAUGGGAAAUCCCAGGGCUUAACCUUGGAACUGCAUUUUUAACUGCCGGGCUAGAGUAUGUCAGAGGGGGGUAGAAUUCCACGUGUAGCAGUGAAAUGCGUAGAGAUGUGGAGGAAUACCGAUGGCGAAGGCAGCCCCCUGGGAUAAUACUGACGCUCAUGCACGAAAGCGUGGGGAGCAAACAGG